UGUAGUUAUAAACCUCUGCUGCAGUUUAAUAAUAUUGAGCAGUGCCACAAAUAAAGAAGCAAGAUGAUUUUACAAAUGCAUUUGAUCUGGCUCCUCUUUUCUGUGUUUGAAGAAUCCAGUGGGCAGAUUGUUAUCACUCAGACACCUGCUUCUGUGACGGUGCUUCCAGGAGAGACGGUCACCAUUCAGUGCAAGGCAUCCAGCUCCAUGAGUAAUGAUAUGAGCUUAUACCAGUUUAAAUCGGGACAAAAUCCCAAGCUCCUCAUCUAUGAUGUAACCAGCCGGCAAACUGGGGUCCCCGAUCGGUUCAGUGGUAGAUACAGCGGCACUGACUUCACAUUCACCAUUACUGGCGUGCAUGUGGAAGAUGCAGGAGAAUACUAUUGUGGACAAGACUACAGCCGUCCUCUCACGGUGAUACAGUUCAAUACUAAAACCUGUUCAGAGCCCCAGCAAACACAUGGUGAAGCAGAAGGAAGUGGUGGUGGCUGUUUCUAA